UUUAGGCCUAAAUUAAAAUAUUGUUUGUUUGCCCUUUUCCGACCCUAUGUUUUGAAACAGGGUAGGUAGGUAGGUAAAAUAUUUUAUUUUUUUUUCCAAAAAAAUAACUUGGCUCGGUAUAUUAUUUGUCAUGGGUAGGCAGGUAGGUAUAAUAUUUUAUUUUAUAGAUACAAACUCUGCAUAAUGUCAUUUGUGUCCGUUUUGUUUUUGCUAAUAAGUUUUCAGGGACUGUUAGUUUUAAAAAAAAUAUCACGUAGAAUGUGAAGCUAAUUCAUAUGCACAGUACUAUUUUGUUUUCAAAAUAUCAAAAUAUAGUGCUGUGCCGCAUAUCUUCAACGUUUAUAUGCCUGGAACUUUGAAGAGUUUGAACUUGCACUUAUAUUCUGUACUACGUACCUUGUAUGUUUACUUAAGAUUUUCUGUAAAAGAUAACUUUGUACUGAUUAGAUCUAUGUCCGGGCAGACAUACAUUACUAGUUGAAAAAGUCCCUAGAGUGUUAAAAACAUCGUGUGUGUUUUUGUUUCCAAUUAAAAUGCUACAAGACUUAAAACUCUGAAAAUUGUCACGUAUUUUACAUCGCCUUUAUAAAUGAUCUGUAUGGACAACUUGGCGAUUUUACUGCCAGAUAUUCUCCACUUUACAGGGUUUUGUCACUUCAUAUCAGAUAUAAAUAAUUUAGCGGCAUCGUUAACAUAAUCAUCCUGAUCUGCGGAUCACAAAAGGCCAUCCCUACAUAGAAUAAAACGUCCGUUUACAAAUUAGUUUGUACACACGUUGAUAAUUUUGUAUCAAACCAACUUAUUUGUAAAUGAACCCUGCUCUUAUAAAGGUACAGUGUAGCGUACGUGAUUUCAGUAAGC
rnacentral:lncRNA from 1 species